rnacentral:lncRNA from 1 species
CCGGCGGCGCGGUCGGAGAGAGGAUCUGGCCCCCGGUCGCCCUCCCCUGGGGACCCGGUUUUCUGCUAGAAGCGGGCUCGGGAGCUCAGAGUCCCAAGUGUGCGCUUUGGUCUUUGAUGCUAUCGACAAAGUGUGGUUUCAGAUGUUGCCCCGGCUGAGGCCGGUUUCCUGUCUGUGUGUGGAGUGGAUGGAAGGACCGCGCCGGUUGCUGCAAGUGUCUUCUCCUUCGCUGAUCCUGGACCUCUUCUACUUCUGGGGGAAACUAAAUCUGGUCACCAAUAAAGCACCCAUCCGAUCAAGCAAUUAAAUACCAAUUAUGACUACUAAUGACUGUAUACUAAUGACUGGAGUUGAGGACUCCAAACCCAGCUCCAGGUAAUCAAGCCGUUUCAAAAUUCUGCUACCUCAGAUGUUUACAGCACGCCACCCCAGUAAAGGAGACAACCAGGUGCUUGCUCAACAAGACCAGCGCUCGCCCACCCGCCCGGGGACCAGCCUGCGGCGGCCUGUAGGAGCACGAGGCCGAGGUGGAGAAUCCGUGCAGCGGGCCCCGCGCCAUGUACAGCCCUGGCACGUCCACAGAGCCCCAGGAACCAUCAAGGGACUCCCGUCUCAGCAGCUGGGGACACGCCUGUAAGUGUGCAGUGUUCCAGUCAACUAAAUGGACUUGCCUUCAGCCAGGAGGGAGCCAGUUCUGCAGGACAGAACUAAUAUUGGGUCUCCCAGGAAGCUCUUCAUCAAAACAGCCCUUGUCCUUUUGUUUUUGUUUCUGAAUUAAAAAGAUGCCUUUGCCUUCCUCUCCGUAUUCACCCCCUG